rnacentral:rRNA from 1 species
AACGAACGCUGGCGGCAUGCCUAACACAUGCCAGUCGAACGAUGCCUUCGGGCAUAGUGGCGCACGGGUGCGUAACGCGUGGGAAUCUGCCUUUCGGUUCGGAAUAACUCAGGGAAACUUGAGCUAAUACCGGAUAACGUCGCAAGACCAAAGAUUUAUCACCGAAAGAUGAGCCCGCGUAAGAUUAGCUAGUUGGUGAGGUAAAGGCUCACCAAGGCGACGAUCCUUAGCUGGUCUGAGAGGAUGAUCAGCCACACUGGGACUGAGACACGGCCCAGACUCCUACGGGAGGCAGCAGUGGGGAAUAUUGGACAAUGGGCGAAAGCCUGAUCCAGCAAUGCCGCGUGAGUGAUGAAGGCCUUAGGGUUGUAAAGCUCUUUUACCCGGGAAGAUAAUGACGGUACCGGGAGAAUAAGCCCCGGCUAACUCCGUG